AUGGCGACAAUGCCGCCGGACCAACAACGCGCCGCCGUGUCCGAGCCCCUGCCCCCCUGGCCAGCCUCCCUCCCCUCCUCCGCCUCCUCCUCCUUCUCGGCGUCGGCGUCCUUCCCCUCCUUCUCGGCGUCCUCCUCCCCGGCCGACGCAGCGCCGACGCCGGUGCGCGCCGACUCGUCGGCGGCGUGCAAGGCGCUGGCCGUGCUGAGGGACGCGCACAGGCCGGGCGCCGGCUCCGUGUCAUGCCUCUCGCUCUGCGGCGAGUUCCUGCUCAGCGCCUCCACUGGCUCCGACAUCGUCGCCUGGCAGCAGCCCGACCUCCGCCUCUUCGCGCGGUUCGGGCAUGGCGGGGAGGGCGCCGUCAAGGCUCUGGCGGCCGCCGGCGGGCGGGUGUUCUCGGCGCACCAGGACGGCCGCGUGCGCGUGUGGCGCGUGUCGCGCAGCUCCGAGAACGCGUUCAAGCUCGUCGCCGCGCUGCCCACCACCAGGGACUACCUGGGCCGCGUGUUCCGCCAGGCCAGCUACGUGCAGGCCGGGCCCCGCCGCGGCCGGCGCGGCGGGCGGCGCCUCUGGAUCGAGCACGCCGACAGCAUCUCCUGCCUCGCCGUCGCCGCGCAGGACGGCGUCGUCUACUCGGGCUCCUGGGACCGGACGCUCAAGGUGUGGCGCAUGUCCGACCUCCGGUGCCUCGAGUCCGUGCGCGCCCACGACGACGCCAUCAACGCAGUCGCCGCCGACUGCGGCGUCGUGUACUCCGCCUCCGCCGACGGCCGCGUCAAGGCGUGGGAGAGGGGCAAGGCUGGCGCCGGCGCGCACACCCUCCUGGCUGUCCUCGUCGCUCGCCAUGGUGUCUCAUGGAACGCCGUCGCGGCGAGCGGCGACGCCGGUGCCACGGGGCGGCGCGUGUACGCGGCCGGCUCUGACGGGCACGUCCUCGGAUGGGACCGGCACGGCGCGCGGUGGAGCCUCGCGUGCGACGUGAAGGCGCACGCCAUGGCCGUGUUGUGCAUGUGCGUGGCCGGCGACCUCGUGUGCACUGGCUCCGCCGACAAGACCAUCGGCUUGUGGCGCCGGCAGCCGUGCGGCGGCCUCGCCAAGGUGGGCGCCGUCGGAGGCCACGAGGGCCCCGUGAAAUGCAUCCAGGCCUCCCUGUGCAGGGCCAGCAAUGGCUAUAUGCUGUACACCGGCGGGCUCGACAAGAGCAUCAGAGUCUGGUGGGUGCCGAAUGGGGCCAACGGCGACGAGCGACCGGGAGAAACGGACGCCAAGGAUCACAGGCCCUGCGUGUUCCUGAGGUGA
rnacentral:rRNA from 1 species